UUCCGGUUGAUCCUGCCGGACCCGACUGCUAUGGGGAUGGGACUAAGCCAUGCAAGUUCAACGGCAGUCAAUGUUCUGCCGUAGCGCACUGCUCAGUAACACGUAGUCAAUCUGCCCCGCGGAGGCGUAUAACCCCGGGAAACUGGGGAUAAUCCGCCAUAGGCGAUGGAUGCUGGAACGCACCACCGCCGAAAGGUUGCGGCAUCUACGGGCCGUACUCCGCCGCGGGAUGAGACUGCGCCCGAUUAUGGUAGAAGGCGGUGUAACGGACUCACCUUGCCUGUAAUCGGUACCGGCAAUGGGAGUUGGAGCCGGGAGAUGGGUACUGAGACAAGGACCCAGGCCCUACGGGGCGCAGCAGGCGCGAAAACUUCGCAAUGCGCGAAAGCGUGACGAGGUCAUCCCCAGUGCGCUCAAAGUGGGUGCUGUGGCGGAGUCUAACCAGCUCCGCAAGAAAAGAGAGGGAAAGGCUGGUGCCAGCCGCCGCGGUAAAACCAGCUCUCUGAGUGGUCGGGACUUUUGCUGCGCCUAAAACGUUCGUAGCCGGCUCCUUAAGUGCCUGGUUAAAUCCACGGGCUCAACCUGUGGCUCGCUGGGUAUACUGGGGAGCUUGAAGGCGGGAGAGGCCAGAUGUACUACAGGGGUACCGGUGAAAUGGGAUCAUCCUUGUAGGACAACCAGUGGCGAAGGCGUCUGGCUUGAACGCGCUUGACGGUGAGGAACGAAAGCUGGGGGAGCAAACCAGAUUAGAUACUCUAGUGAAAUACUCACCUGGGCUAAAAACCUGGGUAGUCCCAGCCGUAAACGAUGCCCGCUAGUGUUGGGAGAGCUACGGGCUCUGCCAGUGCCGCAGCGAAGCGUUAAGCGGGCUGCGGGGGAGUACGGUCGCAAGGCUGAAACUUAAAGG
rnacentral:rRNA from 1 species